rnacentral:rRNA from 1 species
GAUGAACGCUGGCGGCGUGCUUAACACAUGCAAGUCGAACGAAGCAUUUCUUUUGGAAGCAGAUUAGUUUACUAAUCAGUGGACAUGUGAAAUGACUUAGUGGCGGACGGGUGAGUAACGCGUGGGUAACCUGCCUCAUACAGGGGGAUAACAACCAGAAAUGGUUGCUAAAACCGCAUAAGACUACAGUAUCGCCUGAUACAGUAGUAAAAACUCCGGUGGUAUGAGAUGGACCCGCGUCUGAUUAGCUAGUUGGUAGGGUAAUGGCCUACCAAGGCGACGAUCAGUAGCCGGCCUGAGAGGGUGAACGGCCACAUUGGGACUGAGACACGGCCCAGACUCCUACGGGAGGCAGCAGUGGGGAAUAUUGCACAAUGGGGGAAACCCUGAUGCAGCGACGCCGCGUGAAGGAUGAAGUAUUUCGGUAUGUAAACUUCUAUCAGCAGGGAAGAAAAUGACGGUACCUGACUAAGAAGCCCCGGCUAAUUACGUGCCAGCAGCCGCAGUA